GAUGAAGAAACCGUUUCUUCUGCCACGGAGAGGCCUACAGAGAGUGUGGAGGAAUAGCAGGAGGAAGGUCCAUCAACUUCUGGUGCACAGAUGAACACAGUUCAGUUAUUUACAGUAAAUGCCACAGUUUAAUUCUGUAGAAUUUUAGAACUACAUUAUGUAACUCUAAUCUACUGUAAUUUCAGUUGCCAGUUAAAGAGUUAUAUAGACUUCUUCUUAAAAAAGAUAG